rnacentral:lncRNA from 1 species
CCAACUCAGGGAAAGGCCCAAUCGCCCCAAAAGACUAGCCCAAUGGGGGAAGGGUGGCUCUCCCUUUUAAAGUGGCUUCCUCCUCCCAAGUUAAGCGAGGUGGGAUAAUUCUGAGGCUCACAUGGUCGCCGUCCGACUACAAUUGGGCCAACUGGGCCAAUUGCGUCUUUGCCAACGGGUAAUAGUGGAGGAUGUCCUCAUCAUUCUCACCUUCUUAAAAUGGGCCCUAGCUUUGAUACCAGGCGAUUUGUGCGGGAUUUCAGCACCAUUGCAGCACCUCUCCACGAGUUUACAAAGAAUGGAGUGUCGUUUCGUUGGGGACCAUCACAACAACAAGCCUUUGAUGCCCUCAAUUUGAAGCUCACACAGUCGCCGUCCGACUACAAUUGGGCCAACUGGGCCAAUUGCGUCUUUGCCAACGGGUAAUAGUGGAGGAUGUCCUCAUCAUUCCCUCCUUCUUAAAAUGGGCCCUAGCUCUGAUACCAGAUGAUACAUCUAGCCCAGGUGGGGUUGGCCGAGGCCCAACAAAUUAGGGUUGCCCGGAGCCCAACAGUUCAUUAAGCACACCCAACUCAGGGAAAGGCCCAAUCGCCCCAAAAGACUAGCAGAAUGGGGGAAGGGUGGCUCUCCCUUUUAAAGUGGCUUCCUCCUCCCAAGUUAAGCGAGGUGGGAUAUAUCUGAGGCUCACACGGUCGUCGUCCGACUACAAUUGGGCCAACUGGGUCAAUUGCGUCUUUGCCAACGGGUAAUAGUGGAGUAUGUCCUCAUCAUUCUCACCUUCUUAAAAUGGGCCCUAGCUUUGAUACCAGAUGAUACAUCUAGCCCAGGUGGGGUUGGCCGAGGCCCAACAAAUUAGGGUUGCCCGGAGCCCAACAGUUCAUUAAGCACACCCAACUCAGGGAAAGGCCCAAUCGCCCCAAAAGACUAGCCCAAUGGGGGAAGGGUGGCUCUCCCUUUUAAAGUGGCUUCCUCCUCCCAAGUUAAGUGAGGUGGGAUAAUUCUGAGGCUCACACAGUCGCCGUCCGACUACAAUUGGGCCAACUGGGCCAAUUGCGUCUUUGCCAACGGGUAAUAGUGGAGGAUGUCCUCAUCA